rnacentral:rRNA from 1 species
UACAGAGGGUGCUAGCGUUGUUCGGAAUUAUUGGGCGUAAAGGGCGCGUAGGCGGCCCUGUGUGUCGGGUGUGAAAGCCCACCUCUUAAAGGUGGAAUUGCAUUCGAAACUACAGGGCUGGAGUGUCGGAGAGGAUGGCGGAAUUCCUGGUGUAGAGGUGAAAUUCGUAGAUAUCAGGAGGAACACCGGUGGCGAAGGCGGCCAUCUGGACGACAACUGACGCUGAGGCGGCGAAAAGCGU